rnacentral:lncRNA from 1 species
AAUACAAUAGUACAGCAGCAAAACAUCCAAGAUCUUAUUACAGCUUCAAAGUAAAAUAUUGCAGUACACAACAGACAAUCCUUAUGAUAUUCAUAGUAAAUUCACGAAGUGAACAGGCCACUGAUAUCUUAAGCAGCAGCCAAAGCUUCGGUUCAUAGUAAAUUCACGAAGUGAACAGGCCACUGAUAUCUUAAGCAGCAGCCAAAGCUUCGGUAGGCUUCGAAUCUGAUUCUGCUGGUGCUGGUUUUUCCUCUUCCCAGAAGGCAGUCUUCUUCCCGGCCUUAGAAACAGUCUGGAGGACAGCGUCGGGCUGCACGUUGCCCUUCACAGUCACCUUUUGCUCCUUCAAAUCAAUGUCAAAUGUUUCCACACCAUCCAUUUUCCCCAACACUCUCUUCACUGCUCCAUAGCAGCCCUCGCAUGACAUGUCAACCUUAAGGACAACGGUCUGAGAC